rnacentral:lncRNA from 1 species
GGCUGCUACAGUACCUGGAGGCGGAGCAGGAGAGGAACUGUCCAAUCAGGUGCGCAGAGAAAGGUGAAGGGCGGGGUCUCGCAAUCUCGCGGCUUUUCCUCUCCCUUGCUGAGCUCCUUCCUCCUUUGCUCCUUUGUCCUCUUCUCCGGAUCCCCGGGGACUCUGCUUAACCUGGGGCCCCGAGGAGUUCGGAAACCAGACGUCCCUAGAAAGGACGGCGGGUCACCCUGGAGCCCCCAAACGGGAUGCGUUGGUCCUGGGCAGGCUGCCCUCUCUCCCUGCUCUCUCCACCCUCUGCCUGGAGGUGCUAUGAGGUCCACAAGAAGGAUUUCAGGUCUCCCCAGAAGGUGGAACAUGGGUCCUGUGUCCUCUGCCAUUUUCCUGUCCUUUCCUGGGCUGCCAAAGUGUGUCUAGAGCUGCCCUGUUUCCUGCAGAGUGCAAACAAUUUUAGGCCCUGGGGCAGCUCUUCUUAGAGGACAGCCUGAUGUGUGGGGUAUAAAAUCUCAAGAGAGCUGCUGGAGGGCCUGGGCCUGAGGAAUAUUUUUAAAUAGGCCUCAUCUAGACAACUCCCUUCUUGAAACAUUAUCUCCCCAAGUCCUUUCCCCAUUUCUUGGAGCCAGGUGGAUAGGCAGCCUCUAGAUGCUGGUGUUGAGGGGUCAGGUUAGAUCUGAUACCUUCCCCUGGCAUUCCGUCACAGUUGUGCAAGAAAAAAAGAAUCUCCCAGAGCAUAAGAAGCACCCAGUUCACUGAAGUACUCUUCAGUCCUGAAAAGACUGGAGUCCUGGUCCAGGUCUCCUGGGAGGGUGAUCAUGGAAUAUUUUAUUGAGCAAGACCAAUUGGAAAGAUGUCCAGCUGCCUGGGAUGUUCUCUGCCCUUUCAGCAGAAAAAUCUGUGUUCCCUCAGCACUAAUCUUUUCUGUGUUUCUCACUUUGAAAUUAUGGGCUCACUUACUAGAGACCCAGGUUUUCCUAAAAUGUGAAAUGUGUGUAUUCAGAACUGAGCCAAGCAAAAUAUUCUGAAGAGGUAAAAAAAUUUCAAGAUAAUACCUAGUUUUUUUUUCUAUUUGAUACAAAUUUUUAUUUACCUUUCUACUUUCUCUGAGCCUAUGUACAAAAUUUCUGAGACCUCACUCUUUUUUACAAUUGAAUCUCAAAUGGAAUUAUAGGUUCUAGUCUCAAGAAUGCUUCUAGAGAAAAGAGGUUAAAAAAACUGCUGUUGUUGAAGAAAGUGAUUACAUAUCCAAAAAAGUUAUGGUAGGUAAAUUUGAACUACAAGGAUUCAUAAGAAUAUUAGUUCCUUCAUUCAGUGAAGAACUCCUGACACUUGGUAAAUCUGUUUUUAUUCCUGCUUUAUGAAUUUGAAAGAUUAACAAUAAAUUGUAUUGGAAAAACAUGGCAAUUGCCUGAAAUAUGAAUUUUUUACAA